CACGUAGGGGACGAGCGUUGUCCGGAUUCAUUGGGCGUAAAGCGCGCGUAGGCAGCAGCGUGUGUCGGGCGUGAAAUCCCACGGCUCAACCGUGGAAGUGCACUCGAAACUGCGCAGCUAGAGUCUCGGAGAGGAAGGCGGAAUGCUUGGUGUAGAGGUGAAAUUCGUAGAUAUCAGGAGGAACACCUAUUGCGAAGGCAGCUCGCUGGGACGUAACUGACGCUGAGACGCGAAAGCGUGGGGAGCAAACAGG
rnacentral:rRNA from 1 species